GUGUCCAGGUCUGGGCCCCUCCGUUCAGGAAGGACUUUGAGGUGCUGGAGCAGGUCCAGAGAAGGACAACAGAGCUGGGGAAGGGUCUGGAGCACAAAUCCUAUAGGGAGCAGCUGAGGCAGGUGGGAGAAAAUGUUGCUCAGGGGUGACCUUAUUGCUCUCUAGAACUACCUGGAAGGAGGUUAAAGCCAGAUUCCUGUGAGAGCAGCUUGAGCACCAAGCCAGGAGUGAGCCGUGCCUUAUGUUGACCAAGUCACCAAUCUGCAGUGGCUGGGCAGCAGGAUCCAUGGAGCAGAUGGAGAGAAGAAUCACAGCCCACCCCACAUCCAUGAGGACAUCACCACGUUCCCUGCCAGACAGCCAUCUGCCUUCAUGUGCCACUGUCUGCUUCCUCACAAGACAGCCUGUCCAGUCCUAUGUUCCAGAGCUGUGCUAUGGCACCAGGAGGCCACAUAAGCUUACAGUGACAAUGACGCCCUUUCCCUGCUCUUGGAAUUACUCUAGUGACCUGCACUGGGAGUUUUGCUUUUCUCAGCUUUCAGACCACAAGGCCGGAAAGGAAUCCUUCCAUCAAAGUGCAUUUACUGUAGUCUCAAAAUAAGAUGCAUGCCUCUGAGGCCAGCCUCUUGAGAGAUGCUGUGCAAGGGAAAGAGCCUGUGUGGUUUCUGUUUCUCUGUUCUUGAGAAUACUUUUCGUGGGCCCCCCUAAAAAAAGAAAUUAAUAAAAAAACCACCCCAAGAGCAGUGUCUUGCAGAGACACUGUGAUUUGAAAUCGGGGUGUGGUUCCAGAGAGUUGUUAAACCUGUGCAAAA